rnacentral:tRNA from 2 species
ACUCCUUCCCUUACUA